rnacentral:piRNA from 2 species
UGGCUUAACUUGUCCAAGUUCCAGAUGACC